GGAGCCGUGUCAGAGUGGUCUAACGUACCUCUUUGCUAAAGAGGCAGGGUGUAAAAGCCCUCGCGAGUUCGAAUCUCGCCGGUUCCG
rfam:Parcubacteria (Nomurabacteria) bacterium GW2011_GWE1_35_16 TR64_C0002, whole genome shotgun sequence.